AUUGCUUACAAGUGUACAUGAUUUUUCUAGACAACUCCUUCAACAGUUUUAAAGAUAUCAUUUAUUUUUAUUUUGCAGAUCAAAGAAACGUACAUCGGAAAUGAAUAUGAUGCUUCGACUUUGAUUUUUGAUCAUCUAUAAAGGUACCAAAACGUACAUCGGAAAUGAAUAUGAUGCUUCGACUUUGAUUUUUGAUCAUCUAUAAAGAUUCAGUAUAUGAUAUACAUCAGAGAGAAGCAUGAUGCUUGAUUUUGACUGUCUAUUUGAAAGUUUGAUUUUGGCUUGGAUUACCAAAGAACCUGACAAAAAAAUGGGGACAUUUCAUGCGACCAGGAUAAGAUGCUGCUUGCAAUCGGCAUUGCUGAUCAUUCACAGACAAGAGCAUCAGGAGUUCAAGCUAAAACAAUAAUUGCCUCUAAAUACCGCAUGGGGAAGAACUAGACACCAAAUUGUUGUUAUUUGUCGUAAAGCUGUGAAUAUUGACUUGAUUACUCAUUAUACAAUACAAAAUAAAGUUCUUAUUGUUCAG